rnacentral:rRNA from 1 species
AGAGCGAACGCUGGCGGCAUGCUUAACACAUGCAAGUCGCACGGUUUGGGGCUUCGGCUCCGGGCAGUGGCGGACGGGUGAGUAACGCGUGGGGUCUAUCCAAGGUGGGGGACGAACCGCGGGAAACUGCGGCUAAUACCGCAUGACGACUUUGACUGAGAGGUUGGGGUCCGAAAGCUUUCACGAGCGCCUAUGGAGGAGCCUGCGUCCGAUUAGCUUGUUGGUGGGGUAAUGGCCUACCAAGGCGACGACGGGUA